ensembl:lncRNA
GGGAGGAGGAGGGGGAAAAGAGUGAAGGGUUGAGAUCCAGGAAGAAGGUAGUGGGAUGAGGAUGUUUAAGAAGGAUGCAGAAUAUGCUCUUCUCAGUUAGUGUACUUGUUCAGUACCUGGAAAAAAGAGACCCCUCUUGUCUUCAAGAGUAACUAACUCACUUUCUAUGUUAUGAUAGUUUACUUCAGGCUGUACAAUUGCUGCAGGACAGAGAAUAUGGAAUACAAGUUAAAAACAUUUGUUCUCUUCUAAAUGAAACACAACAAAAAGAAAGAUUUAAAGUAGGAAAAAUAAGGCAAAUGAAGAGCUGUAGAGACAGAGUAUUCAGCAAAAUGCAGCUUGAGUUGAAAUGCAUCCAUUGGUUGUGUACAGCUGGGGAAGAGUGUAUGGAACAUGGCUAUGGAGGAGCCACUUGCACCCCUCCUAGGAAACCAUUAUGCUUGAUUACCUUUCCAAAAUUUUUAUACACCAGUGUGUACAGCAUAAGGAAUAAACCGGAAGCUCAAGAUCAGUGCAUCCCUAUGAGUAAGAAGUCAAGCAAAGGAGGCAGGAGGUCUGCACAGAUUAGCAAGGAGCUCCUGGCAAAAAAUUAGAAGGAAGUAUACAAAAUGGGGGAAAAAGGGAACUUUGUCAGAGUUUACAGGGAUGUGACAUGGAAGGCUAAGGACCAUCUGGAAUUAAAUCUGGCAAGGAACAUUGAGGACUAUGAGAAGGGCUUCUUCAAACACAUUAGUAGCAAAAGGAAGACUAGGGAAAAUGUGGGCCUGCUGCUGAAAGGAGUGUGUACCCUGGUGAUGAAGGAUACUGAGAAGAUAGUUACAGAAUACCUUUCUUUGCUUCAUCUGUACUGCUAAUGCCAGCUUUCAGGAGUCCCAGGCCCCAGAGACAAGAGAGAAAGGCCGCAGAAAGGAAGACUUUCCCUUGUUUGAGGAGGAUUUGGUUAGACAUCACUUAGGCAAACUUAACACCCACAAAUUUGUGGUUCCUGAUUGGAGUCUCCUUCCCUGGAGCUGUUCAGAGGCCAUCUGAAAGUGAUCCUGUUCAAUGUGCUCCAGGUGAUAUUGAGCAAGGGGGUUGGACUAGAUGAUUUCCAG